rnacentral:rRNA from 1 species
AUUGAACGCUGGCGGCAGGCUUAACACAUGCAAGUCGAGCGGAGAUGAGGUGCUUGCAUCUUAUCUUAGCGGCGGACGGGUGAGUAAUGCUUAGGAAUCUGCCUAUUAGUGGGGGACAACAUUCCGAAAGGAAUGCUAAUACCGCAUACGCCCUACGGGGGAAAGCAGGGGAUCUUCGGACCUUGCGCUAAUAGAUGAGCCUAAGUCGGAUUAGCUAGGUGGUGGGGUAAAGGCCUACCAAGGCGACGAUCUGUAGCGGGUCUGAGAGGAUGAUCCGCCACACUGGGAUUGAGACACGGCCCAGACGCCUACGUGAGGCAGCAGUGGGGAAUAUUGGACAAUGGGCGGAAGCCUGAUCCAGCCAUGCCGCGUGUGUGAAGAAGGCCUUUUGGUUGUAAAGCACUUUAAGCGAGGAGGAGGCUACCUGGAUUAAUACUCUAGGAUAGUGGACGUUACUCGCAGAAUAAGCACCGGCUAACUCUGUGCCAGCCGCCGCGGUAAAAC